rnacentral:rRNA from 1 species
AGUCUGCAACCCGACUACAUGAAGCUGGAAUCGCUAGUAAUCGCGGAUCAGAAUGCCGCGGUGAAUACGUUCCCGGGUCUUGUACACACCGCCCGUCACACCAUGGGAGUCGGAAAUGCCCGAAGUCUGCGACCUAACCGUAAGGAAGGAGCAGCCGAAGGCAGGUCGGAUGACUGGGGUGAAGUCGUAACAAGGUACC